UGCCGGUAUGAGUAGCGAAAGAAGGGUGAGAAUCCCUUCCACCGAAUAUCUAAGGUUUCCUGAGGAAGGCUCGUCCGCUCAGGGUUAGUCGGGACCUAAGCCGAGGCCGAUAGGCGUAGGCGAUGGACAACAGGUAGAGAUUCCUGUACCAGUGCUAAUUGUUUAACCGAUGGGGUGACACAGAAGGAUAGGGAAUCGCACGAAUGGAAAUGUGCGUCCAAGCAGUGAGUGUGAGAAGUAGGCAAAUCCGCUUCUCGCGAAGCAUGAGCUGUGAUGGGGAAGGAAAUUAAGUACGGAAGUUCCUGAUUUCACGCUGUCAAGAAAAGCCUCUAGGAAGAGUAGUACUGCCCGUACCGCAAACCGACACAGGUAGAUGAGGAGAGAAUCCUAAGGUGAGCGAGAGAACUCUCGUUAAGGAACUCGGCAAAAUGACCCCGUAACUUCGGGAGAAGGGGUGCUCUAUUAGGGUGCAAGCCCGAGAGAGCCGCAGUGAAUAGGCCCAGGCGACUGUUUAGCAAAAACACAGGUCUCUGCAAAACCGUAAGGUGACGUAUAGGGGCUGACGCCUGCCCGGUGCUGGAAGGUUAAGAGGA
rnacentral:rRNA from 1 species